rnacentral:rRNA from 1 species
GUGUCAGCAGCCGCGGUAAUACAGAGGUCUCAAGCGUUGUUCGGAUUCAUUGGGCGUAAAGGGUGCGUAGGUGGUGACGCAAGUCUGGUGUGAAAUCUCGGAGCUCAACUCCGAAAUUGCACCGGAUACUGCGUGACUCGAGGACUGUAGAGGAGAUCGGAAUUCACGGUGUAGCAGUGAAAUGCGUAGAUAUCGUGAGGAAGACCAGUUGCGAAGGCGGAUCUCUGGGCAGUUCCUGACACUGAGGCACGAAGGCCAGGGGAGCAAACGGGAUUAGAAACCCUGGUAGUCC